GUGUUUUCCAUUUCCUUUCCCAGUAGCUACAUGGUAUGUGUGGUGAUACACGUCAUCAGACUCAGAGUUCAACUUGUUGGCAGUCUCUUGGUGGAAGGAGCAAGUCGUGAUGCAGCCUUGAUGGGGCAUAUAUGGGAACCUCCAGGCCCAGGAGAGCCUCGGUUCAGCCUUUCCCACUGCUGAAGCGGUCGCUGAGCUGGAAGGCCUUUAUAUGAACUCGGGUAAAACAAGUACAUUCACUUCUGUACGCAUAGCAUGAGGGAAUAUCCCACGCUACAGCGAUGUACUUCUACAGUUUUAACUUAGCCGGAGGUAGCAGCCCAGUUGGACCGUGUUCAGGUCCCUUUUGAAGGCCACAACUGUGGCACAGCAGUGGGGGAGAGGGACCGGCGUAGCACAGGAACCAGCACUUUGUCCAUCUACAGCAGCAUCACGGUCACAGCAAAGCUGGUGAUGGGCUUCGGAGUGGCUCCUGCUCAGGUAUUUGCAAAGCACUGGUCUUGGCAUAACUGCGUGGCUGGCAACGGGAUAUUCUAGGUGGGCUAUAGUAUUUAUUUCCAAGCUACUUUUACUAGGCACAUCCACAAUUAACAAAUUCAACCAUCUGCCUUAGCAUGCAAUGAAUCAGCCCCUGAAGUACCACUUUUUCCCCCACUGACUAUAAAGGGAGUAGAAGUAACUGGCUCGGUUUAAUACCUCUACAACACCCAUAACUAAAGUUGAUCAGUGGCAUCCCAGUCUUUGUGGGUAGAGAUCACUCCCAGGCACCCCAAAAAAAGUCUCUGGUCUGCCUGAGGUGUCCCUACACACAGUACGACGAUCCUGCGUGUCAGUGCACACGACGAGCCAGCUAGCGCGGGAGCCCGUGCCGUCUCACUGCAGGCACCGCACCUUUCACGUGGUGGGAGCGGUCCCAAAAGGCCAACAUCUUACAAAGAAAUCCGGCCCUUCCUGCAGCUCAGCCCACGCAGUUAUAUGUAUCUAGCUCAGAGUUAGCGUACCACAGGUUAGGCUCGGUGAGUUCUGUUAAAUAACAAUGAAACUGCAAAAUAUAUGGAAAAUAGCGGGGGGAUGACACAGAGAAGCCAGAAGACACAGCCAGAAACCUGACUGCAAGCUGUUGACCAAGGCAGUCAGCUCAGGUCAGGAGGUAAUGUCUGCUCCUUGCUGUUGGCUAGGUAUCUUAGUGCCUGACUCCUAAAUGCCUGUGUUUAGCAAGGCCCAAAAUGAAAAUAUAAAUCCAAUAUAAAUCCAGCUCAGCUGCCGCCACCCAAGAUGGCAGGGAGCUCCCCACAAGGUGCUCCUGCUGGCCACGUGCAACAGGGCCUGAGCCUCCAGCCCACCGCAAUUGAGCGGAUAAGCGAGAUGUUCCCGCGUAUUCCCAGAUUCCCAUGCUUCCACCUGCUGGCGUUCCGGCACACGUUCUCAAAGCACAUGUCCUGGAUCUGGCCCUGCGCCUACACAACAGCGCUGCCGAAACGCUCGGCCAAUGUUUAACCCCUGCUCCAGGAGAGCAGCCGAAGUGCUUCACGCUCCCUUUUUUUUUUUGCAGGAUAAUAAUAAUAAAUAUUUAAGUUGCCAUCAGAGAAGUAAAACCCUCCACCUCAUUCUCCCCCAGCCCCUACAGAGAAAGCGCCUGUGAGUCAGCACUGGGCUUCCUCUGCUCGAGAAAGCUUGCAGAGGAGGGCAACAGGCUUUAUAAAGACUGCAGGGUGGAUUUUUCUCAGGACCUCCAGAGACACGUCCACCUUGCAUAAAACCGCAGGUUGCAACUACCCUCUUACCACUAGCGAUCUGCGAGCAAGUCACAGGACAUCAAAAUGCAAGGUUUGUCUGUGAGGUCAGCUAGCCUGUCCUCAAAGAAAAGUUAGUUUUAUAUAAAAAGUUAGAAAAAGGAAAGAACCAGUGAUCAAAAUUCAGUUUUCACACUGAAGUAUAUAUACAUUUUAAAAAAAAAAGGUCACUCAGCAAACCACACUGAGGCAUCCAGCGUGCUUUUCUUCCCCAAGCAGUCACCUGAAACUAAAUCAGGCGUGCUGCUCACAGUUCUCAUCCUCCUUUGCCUCCAAUAAAACUCCCCCAGUCAAGUGGAGUUCACUCCAAAGGCCACAAAACCCAAGACCGCUCCUUGCGUGCUCAGAGCUGCAGUUUUCCAGCUAUUCAUGGUAUCCAACACAGAUGCUGCUAGAUGAGGGCUUGCUGGUACCUUCCACGAGCCCUCUCAAAGCA